UGGGGAAUAUUGCACAAUGGGCGCAAGCCUGAUGCAGCCAUGCCGCGUGUGUGAAGAAGGCCUUCGGGUUGUAAAGUACUUUCAGUCGGGAGGAAGGUGGUAAGGUUAAUAACCUUGGCAAUUGACGUUACCGACAGAAGAAGCACCGGCUAACUCCGUGCCAGCAGCCGCGGUAAUACGGAGGGUGCAAGCGUUAAUCGGAAUUACUGGGCGUAAAGCGCACGCAGGCGGUCUGUCAAGUCGGAUGUGAAAUCCCCGGGCUCAACCUGGGAACUGCAUUCGAAACUGGCAGGCUAGAGUCUUGUAGAGGGGGGUAGAAUUCCAGGUGUAGCGAUGAAAUGCGUAGAGAUCUGGAGGAAUACCGGUGGCGAAGGCGGCCCCCUGGACAAAGACUGACGCUCAGGUGCGAAAGCGUGGGGAGCAAACAGG
rnacentral:rRNA from 1 species